rnacentral:rRNA from 1 species
GUGCCAGCCGCCGCGGUAAUACGUAGGGACCAAGCGUUGUCCGGAAUCAUUGGGCGUAAAGAGCUCGUAGGCGGCUAUCCGCGUCGGAUGUGAAAGCUCAGAGCUCAACUCUGAGAGGCCAUUCGAUACGGGAUAGCUAGAGGUAGGUAGGGGAAAGCGGAAUUCCUGGUGUAGCGGUGAAAUGCGCAGAUAUCAGGAGGAACACCGGUGGCGAAGGCGGCUUUCUGGGCCUUACCUGACGCUGAGGAGCGAAAGCUGGGGGAGCAAACAGGAUUAGAAACCCGUGUAGUCC